UCUGCAGUGGACAGAUAUCCAGGUUGAGGAUGGUGUAUCUGCAGUGGAUAGAUAUCCAGGUUGAGGAUGGUGUAUCUGCAGUGGACAGAUAUCCAGGUUGAGGAUGGUGUAUCUGCAGUGGACAGAUAUUCAGGUUGAGGAUGGUGUAUCUGCAGUGGACAGAUAUCCAGGUUGAGGAUGGUGUAUCUGCAGUGGACAGAUAUCCAGGUUGAGGAUGGUGUAUCUGCAGUGGAUAGAUAUCCAGGUUGAGGAUGGUGUAUCUGCAGUGGAUAGAUAUCCAGGUUGAGGAUGGUGUAUCUGCAGUGGACAGAUAUCCAGGUUGAGGAUGGUGUAUCUGCAGUGGACAGAUAUCCAGGUUGAGGAUGGUGUAUCUGCAGUGGACAGAUAUCCAGGUUGAGGAUGGUGUAUCUGCAGUGGACAGAUAUCCAGGUUGA